rnacentral:rRNA from 1 species
UACGAAGGGGGCUAGCGUUGCUCGGAAUUACUGGGCGUAAAGCGUGCGCAGGCGGUUCGUUAAGUUCGUUGUGAAAGCCCCGGGCUCAACCUGGGAACUGCAAUGGAAACUGGCGGGCUUGAGUGUGGCAGAGAGGGGUGGAAUUCCGCGUGUAGCAGUGAAAUGCGUAGAGAUGCGGAGGAACACCGAUGGCGAAGGCAGCCCCCUGGGCCAACACUGACGCUCAGGCACGAAAGCGUGGGGAUCAAACAAG